ACGGAAGGCAGCAGUGAGGAAUAUUGGUCAAUGGGCGGAAGCCUGAACCAGCCAAGUCGCGUGAAGGAAGAAGGUAUUAUGUAUUGUAAACUUCUUUAGCAGCAGAGAAAUAAGGGAGUCGUGACUCCUGAUGCUAGUAUGCUGAGAAUAAGCACCGGCUAACUCCGUGCCAGCAGCCGCGGUAAUACGGAGGAUGCGAGCGUUAUCCGGAUUUAUUGGGUUUAAAGGGUGCGCAGGCGGCACGUUAAGUCAGCGGUGAAAUGUCGGGGCUCAACCCGGGCACUGCCGUUGAAACUGGCGAGCUUGAGUACGGAUGAAGUCGGCGGAAUGUGAUGUGUAGCGGUGAAAUGCUUAGAUAUGUCACAGAACACCGAUUGCGAAGGCAGCUGACUAAUCCGCAACUGACGCUCAGGCACGAAAGCGUGGGGAUCGAACAGGAUUAGAUACCCUGGUA
rnacentral:rRNA from 1 species